AUUAUCCGUAGCUGUCUUUGCUGUGCCUCCUGAGUCUGAGUCUAAGUCCAAAUCUAGCUCUGAGUCUGGCUCUGGCACAGCUGUCAGUGCACGGCACUCACCGACAUCAAUUCCACUCCGAGUGCCAGACACGCGACGUGUUACACUCUCAAAGCACUCCCCAGCAGCAUUGAUCUUAACUUUGUUCAAGCACAACUUUAAUUAGAUCAUGAUACUUAUACGAUUUUUCAUUAAUGACUCCGCGAGCCUGCGGCUUUCGUUCAGACACAGAACCAGAGGCACAGAUCGAAUGAGCGAAUAGAGAUGGAGAGCAGAGACAUAUGGAGACCCAACCAGACCAGAUCGGAUCGGACUCCACCCCACCCCACGGCUUUGUGCUUUGGUUUGGCUUAAAUCGCAUACGAUUUGCAUGCAAUUGACAGUGAAACAUGUUUCCCUGGUAUAAUAAAUAAAUCAAGAAUCGAUGUUUGGCUGUUAUACAUAAAAGCCGAGG